CCGUCCUUCGGCGAGAUGCCCCGUAAAUCUACUGUAUGAUCAAUCAAAACACGUUUUGUCCAAAGUCCAAACUUAAUGGUGUGAUAUUGUGGCAUAUUUACCCUGGAGCUAGCAUAUAUAUGGAGCUGACUUUGUUCCUGGAGGAGCAGACACAGAGGAGGAAUCUGCUACCUCAAAGCAGUUGAUCGACGCCGGGAGGGUGGGUAUGUGAUGUCGGAGGCUGCCGGGAGGGUGGUGACGAGCUACCGAAGAGAUGAGUUCUGGCUCUCCUCGAUGCCAGGACGAGGCGCUGCUGCCGAUCGGACGUGGACUUGAUUGAUUUUGAUUUGAA